AUUGAACGCUGGCGGCAUGCCUAACACAUGCAAGUCGAGCGAGCGGCGGACGGGGGAGUACUGUAUGGGGACUGCCCGAUAGAGGGGGAUCACUACUGGAAACGGUAGCUAAUCCCGCAUACUAUCGGAUAACCCAUAUGGGAUUAGCUAGUAGGUGAGGUAAUGGCUCACCUAGGCGACGAUCCCUAGCUGGUCUGAGAGGAUGAUCAGCCACACUGGGACUGAGACACGGCCCAGACUCCUACGGAGGCAGCAGUGGGGAAUAUUGCACAAUGGGCGCAAGCCUGAUGCAGCCAUGCCGCGUGAAUGAAGAAGGCCCUAGGGUUGUAAAGUACUUUCAGUCGGGAGGCGUUACCGACAGAAAAAGCACCGGCUAACUCCGUGCCAGCCGCCGCGGUAAUUC
rnacentral:rRNA from 1 species